rfam:Oryza glumipatula chromosome 3, whole genome shotgun sequence.
ACUAGAUGGGACACUUCAUAGUAUAAUGAAUAUGGACAGGAAGCAUGUCCGUAUUCGUUGUACUAUAAAGUGUCCCAUCCGGU